GACGAACGCUGGCGGCGUGCUUAACACAUGCAAGUCGAACGGAGCGAAUGAAAGCUUGCUUUUAUGAGCUUAGUGGCAAACGGGUGAGUAACACGUAGACAACCUGCCGAUCAGAUGGGGACAACAUUCCGAAAGGAAUGCUAAUACCGAAUGGCGUGUAGGGGAGGCAUCUUCCCUACAUGAAAGAUGGCCUCUAUAUAUAAGCUAUCACUGAUCGAUGGGUCUGCGUCUGAUUAGCUAGUAGGUAAGGUAACGGCUUACCUAGGCGACGAUCAGUAGCCGGUCUGAGAGGAUGAACGGCCACAUUGGGACUGAGACACGGCCCAGACUCCUACGGGAGGCAGCAGUGGGGAAUCUUCCGCAAUGGGCGCAAGCCUGACGGAGCAACGCCGCGUGAGUGAAGAAGGUCUUCGGAUCGUAAAGCUCUG
rnacentral:rRNA from 1 species